rnacentral:rRNA from 1 species
AUUGAUCGCUGGCGGCAGGCCUAACACAUGCAAGUCGAGCGAGCGGCGGACGGGUGAGUUAUGUCUGGGACACUGCCUGAUGGGGGGGGAUAACUACUGGAAACGGUAGCUAAUACCGCAUACCAUCAGAUGUGCCCCGAUGGGAUUAGCUAGUAGGUGGGGUAACGUCUCACUUAGGCGACGAUCCCUAGCUGGUCUGAGUGGAUGACCAACCACACUGGAACUGAGACACGGUCCAUCCUCCGACGGGAGGGAGAAGUGGGAAAUAGUGCACAAUGGGCGAAAGCCUGAUGCAGCCAUGCCGCGUGUGGGAAGAAGGCCUUAGGGUUGUAAAGCACUUUCAGCGGUGAGGCGUUACCCGCAGAAGAAGCACCGGCUAACUCCGUGCCAGCAGCCGCGGUAAUAC